AGCGAACGCUGGCGGCAGGCUUAACACAUGCAAGUCGAACGGGCGUAGCAAUACGUCAGUGGCAGACGGGUGAGUAACGCGUGGGAACGUACCUUUUGGUUCGGAACAACCCAGGGAAACUUGGGCUAAUACCGGAUAAGCCCUUACGGGGAAAGAUUUAUCGCCGAAAGAUCGGCCCGCGUCUGAUUAGCUAGUUGGUGUGGUAACGGCGCACCAAGGCGACGAUCAGUAGCUGGUCUGAGAGGAUGAUCAGUCACAUUGGGACUGAGACACGGCCCAAACUCCUACGGGAGGCAGCAGUGGGGAAUAUUGGACAAUGGGCGCAAGCCUGAUCCAGCCAUGCCGCGUGAGUGAUGAAGGCCCUAGGGUUGUAAACCUCUUUCAGCAGGGACGAAGCGAAAGUGACGGUACCUGCAGAAGAAGCACCGGCCAACUACGUGCCAGCCGCCGCCGUAAC
rnacentral:rRNA from 1 species